rnacentral:rRNA from 1 species
GACGAACGCUGGCGGCGUGCUUAACACAUGCAAGUCGAACGGAAAGGCCCUGCUUUUGUGGGGUGCUCGAGUGGCGAACGGGUGAGUAACACGUGAGUAACCUGCCCUUGACUUUGGGAUAACUUCAGGAAACUGGGGCUAAUACCGGAUAGGAGCGCCUGCUGCAUGGUGGGGGUUGGAAAGUUUCGGCGGUUGGGGAUGGACUCGCGGCUUAUCAGCUUGUUGGUGGGGUAGUGGCUUACCAAGGCUUUGACGGGUAGCCGGCCUGAGAGGGUGACCGGCCACAUUGGGACUGAGAUACGGCCCAGACUCCUACGGGAGGCAGCAGUGGGGAAUAUUGCACAAUGGGCGGAAGCCUGAUGAAGAAACGCCGCGUGCGGGAUGACGGCCUUCGGGUUGUAAACCGCUUUCGCCUGUGACGAAGCGUGAGUGACGGUAAUGGGUAAAGAAGCACCGGCUAACUACGUG